rnacentral:rRNA from 1 species
UAACCUGCCCAAGAGACUGGGAUAACACCUGGAAACAGAUGCUAAUACCGGAUAACAACACUAGACGCAUGUCUAGAGUUUAAAAGAUGGUUCUGCUAUCACUCUUGGAUGGACCUGCGGUGCAUUAGCUAGUUGGUAUGGUAACGGCUUACCAAGGCAAUGAUGCAUAGCCGAGUUGAGAGACUGAUCGGCCACAUUGGGACUGAGACACGGCCCAAACUCCUACGGAAGGCAGCAG